UAUAAUUGCAGGUAGAGAUACGCUGUAUACUCAUGAUAUCGAAUUUGCGUUUAAGCGAUAUGUAAUAUCGUCGAUCAUGAGGCCACCUCAUUGAGGUGGCUUUUUUACUU
rnacentral:ncRNA from 1 species